CCUGUCCCUAGAGGCAGUGCAGGUGUGACUGCUGUGUCACAGGUGAGUCAUAGGUGACAGAGAGAGGCUAUGUCUACACUCAAUGUUCUGACCUUUGAACAUCUGAAUGAUCAGUAGCUUAACAUC